AUCGCUUCUCAGCCUUUUGGCUAAGAUCAAGUGUAGUUUUGAUUUGCAAAUUCCUGAUGAUUAAUGAUGUUGAUCAUCCUUUUUUUCCGUGUUUAUUGACCAUUUGUAUAGCUGUUUUAGAGAAAUGUUUAUUCAGAAACUACACUCAUUUUAAAAUUAGGCUGUCUUUU
rnacentral:snRNA from 1 species